AACGAACGCUGGCGGCAGGCCUAACACAUGCAAGUCGAGCGCCCCGCAAGGGGAGCGGCGGACGGGUGAGUAACGCGUGGGAACGUACCCUUUGCUACGGAAUAGCCUCGGGAAACUGGGAGUAAUACCGUAUGUGCCCUUCGGGGGAAAGAUUUAUCGGCAAAGGAUCGGCCUGCGUUGGAUUAGGUAGUUGGUGGGGUAAUGGCCUACCAAGCCGACGAUCCAUAGCUGGUUUGAGAGGAUGAUCAGCCACACUGGGACUGAGACACGGCCCAGACUCCUACGGGAGGCAGCAGUGGGGAAUCUUAGACAAUGGGCGCAAGCCUGAUCUAGCCAUGCCGCGUGAGCGAUGAAGGCCUUAGGGUUGUAAAGCUCUUUCGGUGGGGAAGAUAAUGACUGUACCCACAGAAGAAGCCCCGGCUAACUCCGUGCCAGCAGCCGCGGAAAGUAGUCGUGU
rnacentral:rRNA from 1 species